GUUGAGCUUGUUGGUUCUGUUGAA
rnacentral:siRNA from 1 species